CCUACGGGAGGCAGCAGUGGGGAAUAUUGCACAAUGGGCGAAAGCCUGAUGCAGCGACGCCGCGUGAGGGAUGACGGCCUUCGGGUUGUAAACCUCUUUCAGCAGGGAAGAAGCGAAAGUGACGGUACCUGCAGAAGAAGCGCCGGCUAACUACGUGCCAGCAGCCGCGGUAAUACGUAGGGCGCAAGCGUUGUCCGGAAUUAUUGGGCGUAAAGAGCUCGUAGGCGGCUUGUCACGUCGGAUGUGAAAGCCCGGGGCUUAACCCCGGGUCUGCAUUCGAUACGGGCUAGCUAGAGUGUGGUAGGGGAGAUCGGAAUUCCUGGUGUAGCGGUGAAAUGCGCAGAUAUCAGGAGGAACACCGGUGGCGAAGGCGGAUCUCUGGGCCAUUACUGACGCUGAGGAGCGAAAGCGUGGGGAGCGAACAGGAUUAGGUACCCUGGUAGUCCACGCCGUAAACGUUGGGAACUAGGUGUUGGCGACAUUCCACGUCGUCGGUGCCGCAGCUAACGCAUUAAGUUCCCCGCCUGGGGAGUACGGCCGCAAGGCUAAAACUCAAAGGAAUUGACGG
rnacentral:rRNA from 1 species